GACGGCCCAGAUUGAAGCGGACAUUCCAGUGGACAGUAGUAGACUGGAAUCGAAAAGUCGCAAAUUCGGGGAAGAAGGAAGAAAGGUGUGAACUGUGAAACCCCACUGGUCAUUCUCAGCUCAGACCACCCAACUUCAUUCUUUCCUCCCCUCCUCCACAUUUGACCUUUUCCCACCUUCUUGAAUUUUCGAUUCUUUUGACCCCUCCAUCCAUCCAUCCAUCUCUCUCCUAUAUCCAUCUACCCAAAAAACACUCAAGUUGUCGCAAAACAAAAAAUGGGUGCGAGUAGCGAUCCGACCCAAGACGGAUCCGACGAGCAACAAAAGCGGUCAGAGAUAUACACGUACGAGGCGCCGUGGCACGUCUACGCCAUGAACUGGAGCGUCCGCCGCGACAAGAAGUACCGUCUAGCCAUCGCGAGCCUCCUCGAGCAGUUCCCCAACCGGGUCGAGAUAGUCCAGCUCGACGACUCCAACGGCGAGAUCCGAUCCGACCCGAACCUCUCUUUCGAGCACCCGUACCCGCCGACCAAAACCAUCUUCAUCCCCGACAAGGAGUGCACCAAGCCCGACCUCCUCGCCACCUCCAGCGACUUCCUCCGCGUUUGGCGGAUCUCCGACGACCGCGUCGAGCUCAAGAGCCUCCUUAACGGGAACAAGAACAGCGAUUUCUGCGGGCCUUUGACCUCCUUCGAUUGGAACGAGGCUGAGCCGAAGCGAAUCGGGACUUCGAGCAUUGACACCACGUGUACCAUCUGGGACAUCGAGCGUGAAGUUGUGGACACCCAACUCAUCGCCCACGACAAAGAGGUGUACGAUAUUGCUUGGGGUGGUGUUGGGGUUUUCGCUUCUGUUUCAGCCGAUGGGUCUGUUCGUGUUUUCGAUCUUCGCGACAAGGAACACUCGACUAUCAUCUAUGAAAGCUCUGAGCCCGACACGCCUUUGGUUCGACUAGGAUGGAACAAGCAGGAUCCUAGGUACAUGGCCACUAUUAUCAUGGACAGUGCUAAGGUUGUUGUGCUUGACAUUCGCUUUCCUACGUUGCCUGUUGUGGAAUUGCAGAGACACCAAGCUUCUGUCAAUGCGAUUGCUUGGGCUCCACAUAGUUCUUGCCACAUCUGUACGGCUGGGGAUGAUUCUCAGGCUUUGAUUUGGGACUUGUCCUCUAUGGGUCAGCCUGUCGAGGGUGGAUUGGAUCCCAUUCUUGCUUACACUGCCGGGGCCGAGAUUGAGCAGCUUCAGUGGUCGUCUUCUCAGCCUGAUUGGGUUGCCAUUGCUUUCUCCACCAAGCUUCAGAUACUUAGGGUAUGAUGUUUAUGAUAAUUGUGAGGAGUUGCUGAAAUGGGGAGUCAAUUGAAAAUUCAAAAUGUUGGUCAUAUGAAGUGAAGAUUGAUUUAUGUGGUGAUAUGAGUGAGCAAGGAAAAGGUGGAGGCUGAAAAGGGCCUGAUGAAUAAAAUGGGUCUAUGUUGAUCAAUUUGCUUAUAUAUAAUAUCAUGAAAACAAUCAAGGAUCUUCAGUUUUCUGAGUAAUGUUAUUUUUACCUAAAAAACUAUAAUGGGUAACCAUACUUCCUUCUGAGUGCUGAAGACACUAUUUCUUUAGAUUUCUGGUCUCUUAAAAUUAUAUGUAAAAUAAGAAGGGAGGGAAUUUGUUCCUUACUCGGCAGCGGCUCUCUUCAUGUUGAACGGUCAUGUUUGCCAUGUUUGUCUGUAUCAGGUUCAACCAUCACUUGUCUUACAAAACAAGCCGUCUUAGAGUUUAUUGAUUUUAUUUAUCAUGCUCCUCAUCACGUUUCAGUGUCUAACGAGAGUAUUUAAUGGUUAAUAUGAUUCUCGCAUAAUGACUUGUUUUAUCAUUAUGUCUGUCACUACCCUAUUCGUAGAGGGCAAUAACUAUAUUGGCAACUGCUAAUGUUGACACAAGAUCUCAAAUUCUAUGGCAUUCCCACUCUAUUACUCCAACACACUGCUCGUUUGACUCAGUUCAAUACUGCUGCACCUCUACACCCACUUAACUCACACAUUGGCAGGAUCCUAGGUACAUGGCCACUAUCAUCAUGGACAGUGCCAAGGUUGUUGUCCUUGACAUUCGUUUUCCUACUUUACUUGUCAUACACCAAGCUUCUGUUGAUGUGAUUGCUUGGGCUCCGCAUAGUUCCUGCCAUAUCUUUACAGCUGGGGAAGAUUCACAGGCUUUGAUUCGGGACUUGGCCUCUAUGGGACAGCCUGAGAAGGGUGCCUUGGAUCCCAUUCUCGCUUACAUGGCCAGGGCUGAGAUCAAGCAGCAUUAGUGGUUGUCGUCUCAGCUCGAUUGGGUUGCCAUUGCUUUCUCUACCAAGCUUCAGAGUUCAGAUACUUAGGGUAUGAUGUCUGUCUACUCUUUUUUUAAUAAUAUUUAUAAUAUUGUGAGGUGAGUUUGCAAUGAAACCAUCUCUGCGUUGUCUGGAAAACUGUCCCUGUUUGUCGUUUUUAGAUUCAACAUCAAUAAUAAUUGUAGUUUGUCUA